rnacentral:lncRNA from 1 species
CCAGGAUUGAACUCAGGGGUGCUCCACGCUUUUGCUGAGGCUUGCUUUGAACUCUUGAUCCUUCUGCCUCAGCCUCCGGACCUGCUGGGAUUAUAGGUGUGCGCCACUGCACCCAGCUCAAUUAUAUUUGUUUUGUUUCCCUGCCUUCUUCAUGCACAUGGAUGACUGCCCACAGGACAGGGGCCACUGGGCCCUAACAAUGAAGAUGCAGCUAUUACAGGGAGACAGCACCUGGUUAAAAGUCAGGAGGCUUAAGUUCCAAACCCAGCUCGGUUAUUCCUUUCCUGGGCUCAGUUUACUGUAUUAAGGAGGGUUGCACUAGUGGUGUUUGAGGUCCCUCCUGAUAAUCCAUAAUUCGUUGCCUUGUCCUGCUUGGGUACAAAAUGAAAAUAUAAGAAUGAUAAUGCUGAGAUGACUCCCAUUUCCCAAACCCAUAUAUUGUACUCUCCUUAUUUUUGAGCAAAUUCCAUAUUUAUUGUGGCUUCAAGGACACCCAAGGUUAGUUUUAACCUCACAGAGAUGUGAUCAUCCUGCACUCGAUUAGUAGGCAUAUGGUAAUAAGGAAGCAGAAAACCAGAGCUUCGAAGUAAG